AAGGUAACCAAGGGAUGCGCGCAGCGGAAACGAUAGUAAAACAAAGGGUGGCGCGCCAUGAAGCUGCCGUGUGUUCCGGCGCAAGUGUCACCGUGACUGUGACAUACACGUACUACCUCUCCGCCACUUGCCAUUUCCAGGAAGCCACCGCCUGCCUUUGCCUACUUAUGCUCCCCCGUCUCCUCAAACAAGCUCCACCGAUCUCGAUCGAAACCUCUCACCACAGCCGCUGAUUCUUCCAGUACAAAAACUACUCCACACCUCUCACGAGCAUGUCGAAUCCGAUUCAGACGGACGUCGCCGGCAUCGCCUCCCCGUCCGGCCAGCAGGAGCAGCAGGGGCACCGGACGGUGUCGUCGGAGCCGCCGAAGCGGCCCGCGGGGCGCACCAAGUUCCACGAGACGCGCCACCCUCUGUACCGCGGCGUGCGCCGCCGCGGCCGCGUCGGGCAGUGGGUGUGCGAGGUGCGCGUGCCCGGGAUCAAGGGCUCCAGGCUCUGGCUCGGCACCUUCAACACGGCCGAGAUGGCCGCCCGCGCGCACGACGCCGCCGCGCUCGCGCUCUCCGGCCGCGCCGCCUGCCUCAACUUCGCCGACUCCGCCUGGCGGAUGCUGCCCGUGCUCGCGGCCGGGUCGUUCGGCUUCGGCAGCGCGCGGGAGGUCAAGGCCGCCGUCGCCGUCGCCGUCGUGGCGUUCCAGCGGAGGCAGAUUAUUCCAGUCGCCGUCGCCGUCGUGGCGCUCCAGAAGCAGCAGGUUCCGGUCGCUGUCGCCGUCGUGACGCUCCAGCAGAAGCAGCAGCAGGUCCCGGUCGCCGUCGCCGUCUCGGCGCUCCAGCAGCAGCAGGUCCCGGUCGCCGUCGCCGUCGUGGCGCUCCAGCAGCUGCAGGUUCCGGUCGCCGUCGCCGUCGUGGCGCUCCAGGAGCAGCAGAUUAUUCUACCAGUCGCGUGCCUGGCGCCGGAGUUCUACAUGUCUUCAGGCGACCUGCUGGAGCUCGACGAGGAGCAGUGGUUCGGCGGAAUGGACGCCGGGUCGUACUACGCGAGCUUGGCGCAGGGGAUGCUCGUGGCGCCGCCGGACGAAAGAGCGAGGCCGGAGCACGGCGAGCAGACCGGCGUCCAGACGCCGCUAUGGAGCUGCUUGUUCAACUAAUUUAGCACUACUGUCAACAUGUAGAUAGUUGCGUUCUUCCAGAUUUGGGAGGAAAGAGAGUAGGCAGUUGGUACUACUUUUGGGGAAAAGGGGCUAGAUUGCUUAAUUCAACAAUUGGUACUGAACUCGAUUGUGUAUCGUGCACUCCAUGAAUCGAAAUCAAGGAUUUUUGGGAGAAGAAAAACAGACA